rnacentral:rRNA from 1 species
CAGUAGCCGCGGGAAUACGGAGGGUGCAAGCGUUAAUCGGAUUUACUGGGCGUAAAGCGUGCGUAGGCGGCUUCUUAAGUCGGAUGUGAAAUCCCUGAGCUUAACUUAGGAAUUGCAUUCGAUACUGGGAAGCUAGAGUAUGGGAGAGGAUGGUAGAAUUCCAGGUGUAGCGGUGAAAUGCGUAGAGAUCUGGAGGAAUACCGAUGGCGAAGGCAGCCAUCUGGCCUAAUACUGACGCUGAGGUACGAAAGCAUGGGGAGCAAACAGGAUUAGAUACCCCAGUAGUCCCUGUCUCUUAUAC